rnacentral:rRNA from 1 species
UACGUAGGGUGCAAGCGUUGUCCGGAAUUAUUGGGCGUAAAGGGCUCGUAGGCGGUCCGUCACGUCGGCUGUGAAAACCCGGGGCUCAACCCCGGGCCUGCAGUCGAUACGGGCGGACUAGAGUUCGGCAGGGGAGACUGGAAUUCCUGGUGUAGCGGUGAAAUGCGCAGAUAUCAGGAGGAACACCGGUGGCGAAGGCAGCCCCCUGGGAUAACACUGACGCUCAUGCACGAAAGCGUGGGGAGCAAACAGG